rnacentral:rRNA from 1 species
GUGCCAGCAGCCGCGGUAAAACGUAGGACGCAAGCGUUAUCCGGAGUUACUGGGCGUAAAGCGCGGGCAGGCGGUCUCUGAAGUCUGACGUGAAAGCUCCCGGCUUAACCGGGAGAGGCCGUUGGAAACUCGGGGACUGGAGCGCAGCAGAGGUGGGCGGAAUUCCGGGUGGAGUGGUGAAAUGCGUAGAGAUCCGGAGGAACACCAGAGGCGAAGGCGGCCCACUGGGCUGCAGCUGACGCUGAGCCGCGAAAGCCAGGGGAGCGAACGGGAUUAGAAACCCUCGUAGUCC